rnacentral:lncRNA from 1 species
CCUAAUCUGCUCACCUUCAAGUUGCCCCACAUUGAAUACACCUCUUCUUCUUCAUCUCCAUCGACUAAAGUUGCUUCUUCCAACAUCACCAACCUGAAAAUUCUUUGAUAACACAAAAUUAAUAAACCAAUGAAGCUAAUUUCCUUCCCGUCAUGAGUAACCCACCUUCAAGUGAUGCUCUUUCGAUUUGACAAAGAAGAUUACAGGUGGGCUCUGCAACAACUGUAAUAAUCAAGGAAAUGGGGUAAUUUUCUAUUUCAGUGAUUUGAUGAUAUUAGAUUUAUGAAAUUCAAUUAUCAAUUUCGUAGUUUUUUUUCAGAUUCCUCUUAUCUCGUUUUGAAUACCUAUUCAGUUCUUUUCUAAUUUCAGAUUCCGCUUUUCUCAUUUUGAAUACUCAAUUGAGUCACACUAUUGGUACUUAUUUUCCUUUGUAUAUAUGUGUUGGCUGCUCAAGGGGUGUGGUCAGAGAAAGUAACAAAUCAUAUUAUAUAAUAUAUUGUGUUCUUCUUGGAUUGUAGUGAUUGCUCUGUAUGUUUGUGAAUUACAUAAAAAAUUGUUAUAUAUUACCCACUCUUUCAAUCGAAGCUCAAUCCUAGCAGGGCUAUCCUUUCUAUUUUUCAUGCCCUCUCAAAUUUCCAAGGUUAACUGUGAAAACGUGUCUGAAACCAUAUAUUCAUGAUUAACUUUGUUUUUUGGUUCUUUUACUUGAUAUUUAAACUCAAGUUCUUCUCUUUUGAUACUUUCAAUAAUAAUGAAUUCUCUAAAGCUGUGAAAUAUUUCUAAUUCUAUGAACAUUCACUAUUACUAUCAACUAUCCCACAGAGAUUUCAAAAUAGUGGAUACCAUCAGGAAGUUGUACAUAUUGAUGUAGUUAGUUUUGAAAGUGAACUUCAAUUGCUUGAAUUCUUACUUCUUUUAUCUGAUUUUCAGGUAUUUUCUUCACUUGAUAUCCUUAUGGCGAUAUUUAAUCUACUAAAUUUUGACUUUUGCUUGUUUUGUUAUUAUUUUUAUAGUUUGCUUCAAAUUCUAUAUGUACGACGCCGAAUUAGUUCUAUAUGUGUUUUUUGGUUGAAAAUAUACGUUGUUGGCUAUGAAAGUUACCUAUUUUAAAGAAAAAAAACUUUUUUGAUUGGGUAAUUAUUUCUUCUCCAAAAGCAGUUGUCCACUCAUUUUCAGGUUUCACAUCAAAGGUUUGGUGAACAAGUCAAUUAUAGUUCUCAUCUAAG